rnacentral:rRNA from 1 species
CCUACGGGUGGCAGCAGUGGGGAAUAUUGCACAAUGGGCGCAAGCCUGAUGCAGCCAUGCCGCGUGUGUGAAGAAGGCCUUCGGGUUGUAAAGCACUUUCAGCGGGGAGGAAGGCGUUAAGGUUAAUAACCUUGUCGAUUGACGUUACCCGCAGAAGAAGCACCGGCUAACUCCGUGCCAGCAGCUGCGGUAAUACGGAGGGUGCAAGCGUUAAUCGGAAUUACUGGGCGUAAAGCGCACGCAGGCGGUCUGUCAAGUCGGAUGUGAAAUCCCCGGGCUCAACCUGGGAACUGCAUUCGAAACUGGCAGGCUAGAGUCUUGUAGAGGGGGGUAGAAUUCCAGGUGUAGCGGUGAAAUGCGUGGAGAUCUGGAGGAAUACCGGUGGCGAAGGCGGCCCCCUGGACAAAGACUGACGCUCAGGUGCGAAAGCGUGGGGAGCAAACAGGAUUAGAUACCCCUGUAGUC